GUGCCUUCGGGAACUCUGAGACAGGUGCUGCAUGGCUGUCGUCAGCUCGUGUUGUGAAAUGUUGGGUUAAGUCCCGCAACGAGCGCAACCCUUAUCCUUGUUUGCCAGCACUUCGGGUGGGAACUCCAGGGAGACUGCCGGUGAUAAACCGGAGGAAGGUGGGGACGACGUCAAGUCAUCAUGGCCCUUACGAGUAGGGCUACACACGUGCUACAAUGGCAUAUACAGAGGG
rnacentral:rRNA from 2 species